AACAGGAUCCCCAUAGUAAUGGCGAAUGAACAGGGAUGCGCUCACCAUGGAAAUUGGGGCCUGUGGCUUUGACUUGUAAUCUUUUGAGGCAUUGCCAACAGAGGCGCAGAUGUAAGUCUCUUGGAACAGAGCAUCAAUGAAGGUGAGAGCCCUGCUUGUCAUUUGCAGCCCCCCUGUGCACGGUGCGCCUGCUAAGAGUCACGUUCCUUGGGAUUGGAGCGCAAAGUGGGUGGUAACUUUCAUCUGAAGCUAAACAAUGGUUUGGGACCGAUAGGAAACAAGUACCAUGAGGGAAAGGUGAAAAGGACUUUGGAAAGAGAGUUAAAAGUGCCUGAAAUUGCUGAAAGGGAAGCGAAUGGAACCAGUGGUGCUGGGUGAGAUUGUCACAUGCCACAGGGAUUGGUUGCUGGUGUGGCGCAAGCGAGUUUGGCGACUUUUGCAUUGUGGUUGUGUGGUGUGUCUUGCUCCGCGGGUCAUGGUGGGUUUAUGCAUUAAGACAAUUCAAAGCGCAUGGUAAUAUGUUUCUGAAUAUACGGAUGUGUUUUGUUAUGUUUGUGCAUAAGCUUCUUGCAUUUCUGUCUGGCUGCACAGCUUACUAUCAUCUACCAUGUUGUGUGGGUGUGUUGAUCAGCGCAUUCUGCACAGAACUGACUAAA
rnacentral:rRNA from 1 species